ensembl:snRNA U6 U6 spliceosomal RNA
GAUCUAUUCUGCUACUACUUCAUAUACUAAAAUUGGAAUAAUACUGAGGAGAUUAGCAUGUCCCCUGUGCAAGGAUGACAUGCAAAUUCGUGAAGUGUUCCAUAUUAUU